CACGUAGGGUGCGAGCGUUGUCCGGAAUUAUUGGGCGUAAAGAGCUCGUAGGCGGUUUGUUGCGUCGGCCGUGAAAACCUGCAGCUUAACUGUGGGCCUGCGGCCGAUACGGGCAGACUUGAGUUCGGUAGGGGAGACUGGAAUUCCUGGUGUAGCGGUGAAAUGCGCAGAUAUCGGGAAGAACACCUAUGGCGAAGGCAGCUCUCUGGGACGUUACUGACGCUGAGACGCGAAAGCGUGGGGAGCAAACAGG
rnacentral:rRNA from 1 species